UAUGUAGGGUGCAAGCGUUAAUCGGAAUUACUGGGCGUAAAGCGUACGCAGGCGGCUGUGUAAGACAGGUGUGAAAUCCCCGGGCCUAACCUGGGAACUGCAUUUGUGACUGCAUAGCUAGAGUCUGUCAGAGGGGGGGUGGAAUUCCACGUGUAGCAGUGAAAUGCGUAGAGAUGUGGAGGAACACCGAUGGCGAAGGCAGCCCCCCUGGGAUAAGACUGACGCUCAUGUACGAAAGCGUGGGGAGCAAACAGG
rnacentral:rRNA from 1 species